rnacentral:ncRNA from 1 species
UGGCCCAUCGGGGUGACGGAUAUCUGCUUUUU